UACAGAGGGUGCAAGCGUUAAUCGGAAUUACUGGGCGUAAAGCGCGCGUAGGUGGUUCGUUAAGUUGGAUGUGAGAUCCCCGGGCUCAACCUGGGAACUGCAUUCAAAACUGUCGAGCUAGAGUAUGGUAGAGGGUGGUGGAAUUUCCUGUGUAGCGGUGAAAUGCGUAGAUAUAGGAAGGAACACCAGUGGCGAAGGCGACCACCUGGACUGAUACUGACACUGAGGUGCGAAAGCGUGGGGAGCAAACAGG
rnacentral:rRNA from 1 species